rnacentral:lncRNA from 1 species
GGAACUGUGAGAUAUAAACAAUAGUGAAUAGAUUUUAAAGUGUUAUAUCUUUCUCCUCAGGUUGAUCCUCCAGAAUAUGCCUUUUCAAACUGUUCUCUAAAACCAUGAAGAAUAUAAACGCAUAUUUACAGGCAAAAUAAAAUAGUGUAAAGAUUCCUCAGAUUCCUGGUCUACAUGGCCACAUAUAACACAUACUGGUAGAAAGACAACUGGAAGAUGAAGUCACUCAUAUUUGAUAACCUGGACUAAUGGUCAGAGUACUUAUUCUGGAACAUGUUCAGAUUCUGGGACCUCUGUGAUGAGACACACAUCUCUUUGAAGCAGCCUAAAGGAAAGGCUGUGGGGAAGCUCCCACUCCUUUUGGAUUGAUCACAAGGGUGAAGAUUCACAUGACCAAAGCAGGAGUAAGAGGAAAUGUGAUUCUGUACCUUAUCCAGAGAGUCCACUCCACUGGAGACAGCUACCUCCUCUCUUCACUCCUCUUGUGGGAUGCCUUUGUGUCUGGCAGAGGGAGCAAAUGGUUUCAGUAGCAACUGACAAAUUGUCCAAUAAUGUGAGUAAUAAAUGCAGUCAGCAGUCACUUCUCUAAACUGCA